UACGGGGGGGGCGAGCGUUGUUCGGAAUCAUUGGGCGUAAAGGGUGCGUAGGUGGUGCUGUAAGUCUGACGUGAAAUCUCUGGGCUUAACCCAGAAUCCGCGCCAGGAACUGCGGUGCUCGAGUGUGGGAGAGGAGAGUGGAAUUCCCGGUGUAGCGGUGGAAUGCGCAGAUAUCAGGAGGAACACCGAUGGCGAAGGCAGGUCUCUGGGCCAUUACUGACACUGAGAAGCGAAAGCAUGGGGAGCGAACAGG
rnacentral:rRNA from 1 species